GAUGAACGCUGGCGGCGUGCCUAAUACAUGCAAGUCGAGCGAACAGACGAGGAGCUUGCUCCUUCGACGUUAGCGGCGGACGGGUGAGUAACACGUAGGUAACCUACCUAUAAGACUGGGAUAACUUCGGGAAACCGGAGCUAAUACCGGAUAAUAUUUCGAACCGCAUGGUUCGAUAGUGAAAGAUGGCUUUGCUAUCACUUAUAGAUGGACCUGCGCCGUAUUAGCUAGUUGGUAAGGUAACGGAUUACCAAGGCAACGAUACGUAGCCGACCUGAGAGGGUGAUAGGCCACACUGGAACUGAGACACGGUCCAGACUCCUACGGGAGGCAGCAGUAGGGAAUCUUCCGCAAUGGGCGAAAGCCUGACGGAGCAACGCCGCGUGAGUGAUGAAGGUCUUCGGAUCGUAAAACUCUGUUAUUAGGGAAGAACAAACGUGUAAGUAACUGUGCACGUCUUGACGGUACCUAAUCAGAAAGCCACGGCUAACUACGUG
rnacentral:rRNA from 1 species